AUUGAACGCUGGCGGCAGGCCUAACACAUGCAAGUCGAGCGGAUGAAGGGAGCUUGCUCCUGGAUUCAGCGGCGGACGGGUGAGUAAUGCCUAGGAAUCUGCCUGGUAGUGGGGGAUAACGUCCGGAAACGGGCGCUAAUACCGCAUACGUCCUGAGGGAGAAAGUGGGGGAUCUUCGGACCUCACGCUAUCAGAUGAGCCUAGGUCGGAUUAGCUAGUUGGUGGGGUAAAGGCCUACCAAGGCGACGAUCCGUAACUGGUCUGAGAGGAUGAUCAGUCAAACGGGAAAUAGAACACGGCCCAACCCCCUGGGGGGGGCAGAGGGGGGGAAUAUUGGAAAAGGGGGGAAAGCCUGAACCAGCCAGGCCGGGUGGGUGAAGAAGGGCUUGGGAUUGGAAAGCACUUUAAGUUGGGAGGAAGGGAAGUAAGUUAAUACCUUGCUGUUUUGGCGUUACCAACAGAAUAAGCACCGGCAAACUUCGU
rnacentral:rRNA from 1 species